rnacentral:rRNA from 1 species
AUUGAACGCUGGCGGCAGGCCUAACACAUGCAAGUCGAACGGUAACAGAAAGCAGCUUGCUGCUUUGCUGACGAGUGGCGGACGGGUGAGUAAUGUCUGGGAAACUGCCUGAUGGAGGGGGAUAACUACUGGAAACGGUAGCUAAUACCGCAUAACGUCGCAAGACCAAAGAGGGGGACCUUCGGGCCUCUUGCCAUCGGAUGUGCCCAGAUGGGAUUAGCUUGUUGGUGGGGUAACGGCUCACCAAGGCGACGAUCCCUAGCUGGUCUGAGAGGAUGACCAGCCACACUGGAACUGAGACACGGUCCAGACUCCUACGGGAGGCAGCAGUGGGGAAUAUUGCACAAUGGGCGCAAGCCUGAUGCAGCCAUGCCGCGUGUACGAAGAAGGCCUUCGGGUUGUAAAGUACUUUCAGCGGGGAGGAAGGGAGUAAAGUUAAUACCUUUGCUCAUUGACGUUACCCGCAGAAGAAGCACCGGCUAACUCCGUG